GGGUCGUUAGCUCAGGAGGUAGAGCACCUGACUCUUAAUCAGGGGGUCACAGGUUCGAAGCCUGUACGACCCACCA
rnacentral:tRNA from 1 species